rnacentral:rRNA from 1 species
GUGGGGAAUUUUGGACAAUGGGCGCAAGCCUGAUCCAGCCAUUCCGCGUGCAGGAUGAAGGCCUUCGGGUUGUAAACUGCUUUUGUACGGAACGAAAAGCCUCUGGUUAAUACCCGGGGGUCAUGACGGUACCGUAAGAAUAAGCACCGGCUAACUACGUGCCAGCAGCCGCGGUAAUACGUAGGGUGCAAGCGUUAAUCGGAAUUACUGGGCGUAAAGCGUGCGCAGGCGGUUAUGUAAGACAGAGGUGAAAUCCCCGGGCUCAACCUGGGAACUGCCUUUGUGACUGCAUAGCUGGAGUGCGGCAGAGGGGGAUGGAAUUCCGCGUGUAGCAGUGAAAUGCGUAGAUAUGCGGAGGAACACCGAUGGCGAAGGCAAUCCCCUGGGCCUGCACUGACGCUCAUGCACGAAAGCGUGGGGAGCAAACAGGAUUAGAAACCCUGGUAGUCC